rnacentral:rRNA from 1 species
UACAUGACUCUCGGCAAUGGAUAUCUCGGCUCUCGCAUCGAUGAAGAGCGCAGCGAAAUGCGAUACGUGGUGCGAAUUGCAGAAUCCCGUGAACCAUCGAGUUUUUGAACGCAAGUUGCGCCCGAGGCCAGCCGGCCAAGGGCACGUCUGCCUGGGCGUCAAUC